rnacentral:rRNA from 1 species
UAGGGAAUUUUGGACAAUGGGCGAAAGCCUGAUCCAGCGACGCCGCGUGGGGGACGAAGGCCUUCGGGUUGUAAACCCCUGUUGUGAGGGAAGAAGCCAUGGGCAACCAUGGUGACGGUACCUCACGAGGAAGCCCCGGCUAACUACGUGCCAGCAGCCGCGGUAAGACGUAGGGGGCAAGCGUUAUCCGGAUUCACUGGGCGUAAAGGGCGCGUAGGCGGUUAUGUAAGUCCGGCGUGAAAUCCCAGGGCUCAACUCUGGAACUGCGUCGGAUACUGCAUUGACUUGAGGAUGGUAGAGGCUCGUGGAACUAGCGGUGUAGCGGUGAAAUGCGCAGAUAUCGCUAGGAACGCCGGUGGCGAAGGCGACGGGCUGGGCCACUCCUGACGCUGAGGCGCGAAAGCCAGGGGAGCGAACCGG